CGCCCGGAAUAGGGAGUACCCAAGUUUGUGGCACAAGCAUGUACUGAGCACCUGCCCUGUGGCAGGCACCGUGAAGUCCCUGGGGUAGAGAGAAUCCAGGGACGGGGUUUCACCAUUUACUUACCUAGACUGUCUCAAACUGCUGGGCUCAAGCGAUGCACCUGCCUUGGGGGAUUCUUAGUAAAUCUACAGGGCUGUGCAACCAUCACCACAAUCCAGUUUUGGA
rnacentral:lncRNA from 1 species